rnacentral:rRNA from 1 species
GAUGAACGCUGGCGGCGUGCUUAACACAUGCAAGUCGAACGGAAAGGCCCAAGCUUGCUUGGGUACUCGAGUGGCGAACGGGUGAGUAACACGUGGGUGAUCUGCCCUGCACUUCGGGAUAAGCCUGGGAAACUGGGUCUAAUACCGGAUAGGACGAUGGUUUGGAUGCCAUUGUGGAAAGUUUUUUCGGUGUGGGAUGAGCUCGCGGCCUAUCAGCUUGUUGGUGGGGUAAUGGCCUACCAAGGCGUCGACGGGUAGCCGGCCUGCGAGGGUGUACGGCCACACUGGAACUGAGAGGCGGCCCAGACUCCUGAGGGGGGCAGAAGUGGGGAAUAUUGCACAAUGGGCGCAAGCCUGAUGCAGCGACGCCGCGUGGGGGAUGACGGCCUUCGGGUUGUAAAAUCCUUUCGCUAGGGACGAAGCGUUUUUGUGACGGUACCUGGAGAAGAAGCACCGGCUAACUACGUG